UACGUAGGGUGCGAGCGUUGUCCGGAAUUAUUGGGCGUAAAGAGCUUGUAGGCGGUUUGUCGCGUCUGCCGUGAAAAUUCGAGGCUCAACCUCGAACUUGCGGUGGGUACGGGCAGACUAGAGUGUGGUAGGGGGAGACUGGAAUUCCUGGUGUAGCGGUGAAAUGCGCAGAUAUCAGGAGGAACACCGAUGGCGAAGGCAGGUCUCUGGGCCGUAACUGACGCUGAGGAGCGAAAGCAUGGGGAGCGAACAGG
rnacentral:rRNA from 1 species